ensembl:lncRNA
UUAGUGUGUAUUGGUAUGUAUGUGUGUAUUAGUGUGUAUUGGUAUGUAUUGGUGUGUAUUAGUGUGUAUGUGUGUAUUGGUGUGUAUUAGUGUGUAUUGGUAUGUAUGUGUGUAUUGGUGUGUAUUAGUGUGUAUUGGUAUGUAUGUGUGUAUGGUGUAUUGGUAUGUAUGUGUGUAUUGGUGUGUAUUGGUAUGCAUGUGUGUAUUGGUGUGUAUUGGUGUGUGUGUGUGUGCGCGCGCGCGUGUAUUGGUGUGUAUAUGGGUCUGUAUUGGUAUCUCUUGGUGCGUAUUAAUGUGUAUUAGUGUGUAUUGGUGUGUAUUGGUAUGUAUGUGUGUAUUAGUGUGUAUUGAUGUGUAUUGGUAUGUAUUGGUGUGUAUUAGUGUGUAUUGGUGUGUGUGUGUG